AUUUAGCUGAUCAGUCCCACAUAGGAUGAAAUGUGCGUCCUAGAC
rfam:Schistosoma curassoni strain Dakar, Senegal genome assembly, scaffold: SCTD_scaffold0001510